GUCCGUGCCGUUCGCUUGAAAAUAAGCUGAACCUCACACUGGAUAAAACUGGAAUCUUGUAGAAAAUUACUUGUGUCAAUAUUUGUGAAGAAGUCUGAUCAGCACGUUGAAAUCAGGCUGUUAACUUGAGGAGGUUUUAUUCCAAUGACAAGAAGUUCCCACACUGCAGGCCAGCAGCAC